CCUACGGGAGGCAGCAGUGAGGAAUAUUGGUCAAUGGACGAGAGUCUGAACCAGCCAAGUAGCGUGAAGGAUGACUGCCCUAUGGGUUGUAAACUUCUUUUAUAUGGGAAUAAAAUGUUCCACGUGUGGGAUUUUGUAUGUACCAUAUGAAUAAGGAUCGGCUAACUCCGUGCCAGCAGCCGCGGUAAUACGGAGGAUCCGAGCGUUAUCCGGAUUUAUGGGGUUUAAAGGGAGCGUAGGUGGAUUGUUAAGUCAGUUGUGAAAGUUUGCGGCUCAACCGUAAAAUUGCAGUUGAAACUGGCAGUCUUGAGUACAGUAGAGGUGGGCGGAAUUCGUGGUGUAGCGGUGAAAUGCUUAGAUAUCACGAAGAACUCCGAUUGCGAAGGCAGCUCACUGGACUGCAACUGACGCUGAGGAGCGAAAGCGUGGGUAGCAAACAGGAUUAGAUACCCCGGUAGUC
rnacentral:rRNA from 1 species